GUAUCUGUGAGAAUUAUGCUACCUAGGAAAAACUAUGUUUAUUAGAAUGUCUGCUGUGUCACCUUCUUCAUAUAUUCCUGACCCCAAGACAGAGCAAAAGGCUUCAACCUGAUGGUUGACCUAUGGACCCUGCCAAAAAAAAUUUUCCAUGUGAACUUGAGUUUGCAAGGCCCUUUUUUUCAGUCCCGAAAACUCUGCGUUCUGAAAAAGGACAUCUGUGAUAAGAUGGAACUUGGCACCAGUAACUCAUGUACUAUGGGUGAAGCAUGCUCAGAAGAGGCAGACCCAGAGGUAGUCCUGAAUCUUGUAAAUGGCUCUGGGUGAAUCCGAAGAACUGCAUGUAAUUUGGCAGGUAAAAAAUUAUUUUAAAAAUAAUUUGACUGUGAAUGUUCACCAGUACAGAGAGUUUAAGGAUCCUUCAUUAGCCCUUGAUUUUCACCACAUUUGGUUUGUCUGUAAGCAACUCAAUGAGAUUUUCUAGCAAGAAUGAAACUUACUAAACUGAAAAAUUAAUAUGCGCAGAAAUUUAAAGCUUGCUCCACCCUGCAGAGUUUGUGGCUGGGAAAAAUCAUUUGCUUUUGCUACUACUUCUCUGAGUGACUGCAGUGGGGGUGGCCAAGUUUUGGUGCUAAAUCAAAGGAUUUUGCAGGAUAACAAUAGCUGAGCUAUUGGUAGGGGAAGAACAUGCAUCUGUAACUCCA
rnacentral:lncRNA from 1 species